rnacentral:piRNA from 1 species
UCUGACUACCUAGGAAUUUGAGGCAGGA